rnacentral:rRNA from 1 species
AGUGGCGGACGGGUGAGUAACACGUAGGAAAUCUGCCUCAAUGAAGGGGACAACAGCUGGAAACAGCUGCUAAUACCCUAUAUGUCAUAAUCUGAAAUGGUUAUGAUGAAAGUUCCGGCGCCUUGAGAUGAGCCUGCGUCUGAUUAGCUAGUUGGUGGGGUAAAUGCCCACCCAAGGCGACGAUCAGUAGCUGGUUUGAGAGGAUGACCAGCCACCAUGGGACUGAGACACGGCCCAUACUCCUACGGGAGGCAGCAGUAGGGAAUUUUGCGCAAUGGACGAAAGUCUGACGCAGCAACACCGCGUGAGCGACGAAGCCCCUUGGGGUGUAAAGCUCUGUCAGUGGGGACGAAACCUGACGGUACCCACAGAGGAAGCAUCGGCUAACUACGUGCCAGCAGCCGCGGUAAGACGUAGGAUGCGAGCGUUGUCCGGAAUUAUUGGGCGUAAAGAGUUCGUAGGUGGCAUGUCAAGUCUGGUGUUAAAGCUCGGGGCUCAACUCCGAAUCGGCACUGGAUACUGACAAGCUAGAGUGCAGUAGAGGCAAUGGGAAUUCCCAGUGUAGCGGUGAAAUGCGUAGAUAUUGGGAGGAACACCCAGUGGCGUAAGCGCCUUGCUGGGCUGUAACUGACGGUGAGGAACGAAAGCCGGGGGAGCAAAUGGGAUUAGAUACCCCAGUAGUCCCGGCCGUAAACGAUGGAUAAUAGGUGUUGCGAGUAUCGACCCUUGCAGUGCCGUAGUUAACGCGAUAAGCAUCCCGCCUGGGGAGUACGCACGCAAGGGUGAAACUCAAAGGAAUUGACGGGGGCCCGCACAAGCGGUGGAACAUGUGGUUUAAUUCGAAGCAACGCGAAGAACCUUACCAGGGCUUGACAUCCCAAGAACCUUGUGGAAACACGAGGGUGCCUUCGGGAACUUGGAGACAGGUGGUGCAUGGUUGUCGUCAGCUCGUGUCGUGAGAUGUUGGGUUAAGUCCCGCAACGAGCGCAACCCUCGUUGUUAGUUGCUGUAUGGAAGCACGCUUUUAUACAGCUCUCUAGCAAGACUGCCGGUGAUAAACCGGAGGAAGGUGGGGAUGACGUCAAAUCAUCAUGCCCCUUAUGCUCUGGGCUACACACGUGUUACAAUGGGUGAGACAACGAGCAGCCAACUGGCAACAGUGAGCAAAUCUCUUUAACUUAUCCUAAGUUCGGAUUGGAGUCUGCAACUCGACUCCAUGAAGUCGGAAUCGCUAGUAACCGUAGAUCAGCAUGCUCCGGUGAAUACGUUCCCGGGCAUUGUACACACCGCCCGUCACACCAUGGAAGUGACCACGCCCGAAGUCAGUGUGCUAA